rnacentral:ncRNA from 1 species
UAUUUAGUGAGGUCUCCGGACGUGAUCACUGCGAAGCCUUGCGUGUCGCGGUUGUUUCACAGAAGUUGACCGAACUUGAUUAUUUAAAGGAAGUCCAAAGUCAUAACAAGGCUUCCCUACGUGAACCUGCUUGAAGGAUCAUUA